rnacentral:rRNA from 1 species
GACGAACGCUGGCGGCGUGCUUAACACAUGCAAGUCGAACGCUGAAGCCCCAGCUUGCUGGGGUGGAUGAGUGGCGAACGGGUGAGUAACACGUGAGUAACCUGCCCAUCACUCUGGGAGAAGAGCUGGAAACGGCGUCUAAUACUGGAUACGAGCAGCGACCGCAUUGUCAGCGGCUGGAAAGACUGGUUCGGUGAUGGAUGGACUCGCGGACUAUCAGCUUGUUGGUGAGGUAAUGGCUCACCAAGGCGACGACGGGUAGCCGGCCUGAGAGGGUGACCGGCCACACUGGGACUGAGACACGGCCCAGACUCCUACGGGAGGCAGCAGUGGGGAAUAUUGCACAAUGGGCGCAAGCCUGAUGCAGCAACGCCGCGUGAGGGAUGACGGCCUUCGGGUUGUAAACCUCUUUUAGUAGGGAAGAAGCCUUCGGGUGACGGUACCUGCAGAAAAAGCACCGGCUAACUACGUGCCAGCAGCCGCCGUAA